ensembl:lncRNA
CUUUAUUACAUUUUAAAUAACAGUACAUUUUAAUAUAGUAUCUAUCUUGCAUCCAUCUCUCUGUUGUACACCGACAGACUGAAAUAAAAUACAAAAGGUGAGAGUAUAGGGCUCCAGGAGGAUGCGGAGGUCUACAGGUUAAUAAUGGAGAGAAAGGGGGGAAAUUCAUCUGGAUUCAACUGCAGUUUAACUCUUUUUCUUUUUUAACCAAUGGCAGCACACAGAAAUACAUCACAUUUAUUGUACAUUAUCGCAGAGAAAUAAAACGAUAAAAAAAAAAGAGUCACAACUAUCAAAGAAAGUGCAUCUGUUUACAGUGGGAAAAAAAGAAAAAUCUGCCAUUCAGAUGCCAACCCCAAAUUAAAACGCCACAUGAAAUCCUUGUCUUUUGCUUUUUUUUUUUCUAUGAACAUAAUAAUAAUAAUAAUAAUAAUAAUUCCCAACCCCCAAAUUUUGCUCCAUUUUCAAAUAGAAAAGUGUGUGAGUGGAUAGGUGUUGGGGGGGGGAGGAGUAUGUGAAUCGUGAAUUUGUUUCACUAGAACUUUGAAAAAAGAUCUUUAUGGGGACCCAGUCAUUGUUUUUUUUUUUUUUUUAAAAAAGGAACGGAAAAAGCUUUUCUUUCUUAUCAGGAAGUUUGUAUUUAGAGUGUGUAAAAGGCUCUCUCCCCCUACACUCAGGUGCAUAGCUUUGCCAGGAGAAGGUAGGUGUGUCUGCAGAAGCCAAACCAUUUGAGAUUAUGCUGUGACUGACUCGAGGGGUUAAUAAGUUAUCCCCGAAUGAGAUUCUGAUGUACGACAAACCGUAUGCACUUUUUCUUCUGAAGCAAUUGUACAGCAUGCGACUAUAAGUUCAACUCAUGGCAGAUUCAAACAAGAAAAUAACGUUUACGCUUAACUUAAAUUUUUUCAGUAUCAUUAUUUUCAGACAUUGAUUUGUACAACAUUUCAUUCACAGAAUAGGAACUGCAUUUCCAAGCACAGGAAGGGCCAUCUCUUGUUAAACCAUCAUUCUGAAAAUGGGUGUGUAAAAAGGGAGGGAGAGAAAAAGAGAAAGAAAGACAACAUAUCUAAUCCCAUACUACAGUGUUCCCAGUUUUUCAUCCAUAACCACACCCCCAAAAAUUCAACAAAUACAAAAUCUAUCAGAAAGGGAGUUCAUAACAUAACCUUUUACGCUGCAUCACCCAAUGAAAUGAAAAAAAAAAAAAAAAAGACUUUUAAAAAUCAUUUUGAUGUCUUUUUUUUGUUUUGUUUUUCUAGUUAAAAUGCGCAUUUCAAAUGUGAUAAAACAUGUGCUUGGUUAGUAACGCUUGCGACGUUAGUCAAGUUUCUUUAUUGUGCAAACAAAGCGGUGACAAGACAGGAAAGGAAACAGCUUGAAUACAACGCUGUGUUUGCGUGCAAGUCCGAUACUCAUAUUUACAGGAGGUCAUUUCUGAAUGGACUACGAGAGUACCUCAAGACUUGGAAACAGUAAAAAUAUUCAAAAGAUAUGGCAUUUUGCUCGGUAUUCAGAAAUGAGAUUAUUUUUAAUCACUCUGAUUAAAAUCAACUAAUGCACAGAUGAUCACAUUUUUAAAAAGCUAAGGCUGUAUUUUAUAAUCAUCAGCAAUGGUUGGAGGGAGAUGAUGGCCAACAGGAGCUUUACAGAGCGAGCUGGUCAGAUUGACCUUUUUUCCUUUCUUUUUUGGCCAGACUCAAGAGGAUCAUGAUUGACAUGUGGGCGGGGCAUGUUUAUGAACUUUGCACACACUCGUAAAUGCACCAUAGAUAGAUGAUUGGCAUUCUUAGAAAGCUGCUCGUGCACUCUCUUUUUCAAGCUUCAGCAUCAAUAUUACCUUUUUUUUUUGUCUUUUUUUUUUUUGUUUGUUUUAUCUUUCUCAUACAAUUUAAUUGGAUUAAAAGAAAUGCUAGUCUUGAACAUAUUUAAAGAGAAGAAAUAUGACAAAAACAAAUUACUACUAGAAAUCAUACGUCUGAGAAAUGAGCUUUUCACAAAAAAGUUAAAUAAUUUGUACAAUUACACUCCAACAUUUGCUUUCUAGACACAUGAUAGCUAAGCAUGGGGUGGGGGUGAAACUGAAUGGUCCAUAAAAGGAAUGCACAGUUAUUCAAACUGAUACCACAGGAAUUCUUCUUUCUCACGUUAGCCGGGUGAUCAAACUAAUUGUGCUCUUCUUUGUGGAGGAAAGGCAUUGGUUUCCCUUACAAGUUUCUGUUGUUGUUGUGGUUGCUGCUGUUGUGUUCGAGUCAGUUCUUGUUUUUUUUUUUUUUUUUCCUUUUUCUUGUUUUUUUUUUUUUCCGGUGUUCUCGAGAAGAUGCUGUGAAAUUGAACAUUCUAAAGUUGGAAUGGUCUUCCAGUCAACUUUGGAGUUUAAAUGACAUCUGAGGGGAAGAAAGACCACACAAUGAGCAACAAGAGAUUGAUAUGCGCACACACACAUCCAACAGCUCCAUUGUUUUAAACAGCUAGAACAAAGUCCUCCUUUAUC